GUGUUCGCAGUGCGUAGAAUAUUUAGAAUCAGUAAUCAGUAAAGGAAACUCUAAUUUAUAAAGUGUGAUAACCUUCAGUCGCUGAUCAACCAUCUGUACCUGGAUAAACAUGUUGAAAAAUUGGAUAAAAAAUAAAAAAAAUAGGGGAGAGAGAUUACAAAAUGAAAAUGAUAAUGAAGAGAUAAUAGAGAUGUCUACUUCAGAGAGUGAAAUAGAAACUUAUAGAAGCCGAUCAACUAUAUCCAGUAAAGCUUCUUUUCUUUCUCGUGUAAAACGUUCUAAAGCAUCCUUAUGUUUUGGAAAUGUUUCUGAUAAUGAUAAUACAGA